rnacentral:rRNA from 1 species
UGCGUAGGCGGCAUGUCAAGCCAGAGGUGAAAGGCAUUGGCUCAACCAAUGUAAGCCUUUGGAACUGACGCGCUUGAGUACAGGAGAGGUAAGUGGAAUUCCUAGUGUAGAGGUGAAAUUCGUAGAUAUUAGGAGGAACACCAGUGGCGAAGGCGACCACCUGGACUGAUACUGACACUGAGGUGCGAAAGCGUGGGGAGCAAACA